AGGUAGGAUUGCCACAUAUAAUGACGCCACUCGAUAACUGCGAAGGUGAGGGAUAUCGCUGAAGUAAGGGGAAGGGUUGCACAAACUUUUGUGCGUGUGACUAGAUUUGAUUGUUGUUUUGUCUUGGCAACGUUGGCGACUUUUUCGGUUUGCUUAAUGGUCACACUAGCCAUAGAAGACAUUAACAAUGUUACUUCUUUCGUUUGAACGGGAAAUAAGGACAUGGACGAAUGAAGGAGAAAGGUAAUCAUGGUCCCGUAAUAGGCGUCAACAUCGACUGUCCUAUCGAGUCCUCGAAAAGAUCACGGUACCUGGAAGGAAAGCUACAGCGUUCGGUGAUGACGAUAAAUUCGGCAGUUUUUUUUGUAGACACUUGCCGUUAGUGAGAAAGUGCUGUUCUGGGCGCAUCGUACUUGACUCGACUAGCGGCGGAUGCCGAUCACUACUAAUAGCAAUGAAAACUAGUUAAAUCAUGAUUGGUACAAGACGCGAUACGGAUGAGUGUCAAGGAUCUGGGUAUACGUCGUGGGCAUGGCAAAAGAUUCGGAACAUGGGUUGUAGCAAUCUUGGCUUGACAAAGCAGCGAGCAGAAUUAAAGAACAUGAUUCUAUGGGAUCAAUCGUCUUGGUAUUGAGCGGUAUGUAGUCAGGCAGGAAGAGCGCUCUAUCACUAAGUGGCCGUCGUGGAAUACAGGUAAAGAUAGCUUCAAUAUAAUGCGACGAAAGCAAGCCAUUUAACGCGAAAGGGACUAUCGGCGAUUAGACUGUUCUUUUGCGGAUGAAAGAUAAAAAUAAACUAUAGUUACUUAUUUGAAUGUUACCUUUAUUUUAAUAAGUACCCCGCAAAGGACUGGGUUCACAAAGUAAUUUCUAGCGAA